rnacentral:rRNA from 1 species
AGGUGCCUACGGGGGGCAGCAGUGGGGAAUAUUGCACAAUGGGGGAAACCCUGAUGCAGCGACGCCGCGUGAGUGAAGAAGUAAUUCGUUAUGUAAAGCUCUAUCAGCAGGGAAGAAAAUGACGGUACCUGAGCAAGAAGCCCCGGCUAACUACGUGCCAGCAGCCGCGGUAAUACGUAGGGGGCAAGCGUUAUCCGGAUUUACUGGGUGUAAAGGGAGCGCAGACGGCAGUGCAAGUCUGGAGUGAAAGCCCGGGGCCCAACCCCGGAACUGCUCUGGAAACUGUGCGGCUAGAGUACUGGAGG